GGCCCAAUGGUCUAGUCGUAGGAUACUCCCUUCGGGUUCAUCCCGCUUACUCUCGUAAGUUCUCAUGGGAGUGGUCCCGGGUUCAAUUCCCGGUUGAGCCC